rnacentral:rRNA from 1 species
AGAGUUUGAUCCUGGCUCAGGACGAACGCUGGCGGCGUGCCUAAUACAUGCAAGUCGAGCGAGCUUGCCUAGAUGAUUUUAGUGCUUGCACUAAAUGAAACUAGAUACAAGCGAGCGGCGGACGGGUGAGUAACACGUGGGUAACCUGCCCAAGGGACUGGGAUAACACCUGGAAACAGAUGCUAAUACCGGAUAACAACACUAGACGCAUGUCUAGAGUUUGAAAGAUGGUUCUGCUAUCACUCUUGGAUGGACCUGCGGUGCAUUAGCUAGUUGGUAAGGUAACGGCUUACCAAGGCAAUGAUGCAUAGCCGAGUUGAGAGACUGAUCGGCCACAUUGGGACUGAGACACGGCCCAAACUCCUACGGGAGGCAGCAGUAGGGAAUCUUCCACAAUGGACGAAAGUCUGAUGGAGCAACGCCGCGUGAGUGAAGAAGGGUUUCGGCUCGUAAAGCUCUGUUGGUAGUGAAGAAAGAUAGAGGUAGUAACUGGCCUUUAUUUGACGGUAAUUACUUAGAAAGUCACGGCUAACUACGUGCCAGCAGCCGCGGUAAUACGUAGGUGGCAAGCGUUGUCCGGAUUUAUUGGGCGUAAAGCGAGUGCAGGCGGUUCAAUAAGUCUGAUGUGAAAGCCUUCGGCUCAACCGGAGAAUUGCAUCAGAAACUGUUGAACUUGAGUGCAGAAGAGGAGAGUGGAACUCCAUGUGUAGCGGUGGAAUGCGUAGAUAUAUGGAAGAACACCAGUGGCGAAGGCGGCUCUCUGGUCUGCAACUGACGCUGAGGCUCGAAAGCAUGGGUAGCGAACAGGAUUAGAUACCCUGGUAGUCCAUGCCGUAAACGAUG